rnacentral:rRNA from 1 species
UACGGAGGGGGCUAGCGUUGUUCGGAAUUACUGGGCGUAAAGCGCACGUAGGCGGCUUUGUAAGUUAGAGGUGAAAGCCCAGGGCUUAACCCUGGAAUUGCCUUUAAGACUGCAUCGCUAGAAUCGUGGAGAGGUAAGUGGAAUUCCGAGUGUAGAGGUGAAAUUCGUAGAUAUUCGGAAGAACACCAGUGGCGAAGGCAGCAGAUUGGGCCGGUAUUGACGGCUCAGGCACGAAAGCAUGGGGAUCAAACAGG